UACGUAGGGACCGAGCGUUGUCCGGAUUCAUUGGGCGUAAAGAGCUCGUAGGCGGCUAUUCAAGUCGAACGUGAAAUCUCGGAGCUCAACUCCGAAACUGCGUUCGAUACUGGGUAGCUAGAGUCUGGUAGGGGGAUCUGGAAUUCCUGGUGUAGCGGUGGAAUGCGCAGAUAUCAGGAGGAACACCGGUGGCGAAGGCGGGAUCCUGGGCCAGUACUGACGCUGAGGAGCGAAAGCGUGGGGAGCAAACAGGAUUAAGAAACCCCGGUGAGUCCCAG
rnacentral:rRNA from 1 species